rnacentral:rRNA from 1 species
CCUACGGGGGGCAGCAGUGGGGAAUAUUGGACAAUGGGCGCAAGCCUGAUCCAGCCAUGCCGCGUGGGUGAUGAAGGCCUUCGGGUUGUAAAGCCCUUUCGCCGGGGACGAUGAUGACGGUACCCGGAGAAGAAGCCCCGGCUAACUUCGUGCCAGCAGCCGCGGUAAUACGAAGGGGGCAAGCGUUGUUCGGAAUCACUGGGCGUAAAGGGCGCGUAGGCGGCCGGCUUUGUCGGGUGUGAAAGCCCCGGGCUCAACCUGGGAGGUGCACUCGGGGACGGGUCGGCUGGAAUCCGGAAGAGGAUGGUGGAAUUCCCAGUGUAGAGGUGAAAUUCGUAGAUAUUGGGAAGAACACCGGUGGCGAAGGCGGCCAUCUGGUCCGUGAUUGACGCUGAGGCGCGAAAGCGUGGGGAGCAAACAGGAUUAGAUACCCCUGUAGU